GAUGAACGCUGGCGGCGUGCCUAAUACAUGCAAGUCGAGCGAACGGACGAGAAGCUUGCUUCUCUGAUGUUAGCGGCGGACGGGUGAGUAACACGUGGAUAACCUACCUAUAAGACUGGGAUAACUUCGGGAAACCGGAGCUAAUACCGGAUAAUAUUUUGAACCGCAUGGUUCAAAAGUGAAAGACGGUCUUGCUGUCACUUAUAGAUGGAUCCGCGCUGCAUUAGCUAGUUGGUAAGGUAACGGCUUACCAAGGCAACGAUGCAUAGCCGACCUGAGAGGGUGAUCGGCCACACUGGAACUGAGACACGGUCCAGACUCCUACGGGAGGCAGCAGUAGGGAAUCUUCCGCAAUGGGCGAAAGCCUGACGGAGCAACGCCGCGUGAGUGAUGAAGGUCUUCGGAUCGUAAAACUCUGUUAUUAGGGAAGAACAUAUGUGUAAGUAACUGUGCACAUCGUGACGGUACCUAAUCAGAAAGCCACGGCUAACUACG
rnacentral:rRNA from 1 species